AAUUUUUGACAAUGGGGGCAACCCUGAUCCAGCCAUCCCGCGUGUUCGAUGAAGGCCUUCGGGUUGUAAAGCACUUUUGGCAGAAAAGAAAUCGCGCGGACUAAUAUCCUGCGUGGAUGACGAUACCUGUAGAAUAAGCCACGGCUAACUACGUGCCAGAAGCCGCGGUAAUACGUAGGGUGCAAGCGUUAAUCGGAAUUACUGGGCGUAAAGGGUGCGCAGGCGGUUCGGAAAGAAGGAUGUGAAAUCCCAGGGCUCAACCUUGGAAUGGCAUUCUUAACUACCGGGCUAGAGUGUGUCAGAGGGGGGUGGAAUUCCGCGUGUAGCAGUGAAAUGCGUAGAGAUGCGGAGGAACACCGAUGGCGAAGGCAGCCCCCUGGGAUAACACUGACGCUCAGGCACGAAAGCGUGGGUAGCAAAC
rnacentral:rRNA from 1 species